rnacentral:rRNA from 1 species
GGCAGCAUGGUCUUAGCUUGCUAAGACUGAUGGCGACCGGCGCACGGGUGAGUAACACGUAUCCAACUUUCCGUCUACUCUUGGACAGCCUUCUGAAAGGAAGAUUACUUCAAGAUGGCAUCAUGAGUCCGCAUGUUCACAUGAUUAAAGGUAUUCCGGUAGACGAUGGGGAUGCGUUCCAUUAGAUAGUAGGCGGGGUAACGGCCCACCUAGUCUUCGAUGGAUAGGGGUUCUGAGAGGAAGGUCCCCCACAUUGGAACUGAGACACGGUCCAAACUCCUACGGGAGGCAGCAGUGAGGAAUAUUGGUCAAUGGACGAGCGUCUGAACCAGCCAAGUAGCGUGAAGGAUGACUGCCCUAUGGGUUGUAAACUUCUUUUAUAAGGGAAUAAAGUGAGGGACGUGUCCCUUUUUGUAUGUACCUUAUGAAUAAGGAUCGGCUAACUCCGUGCCAGCAGCCGCGGUAAUACGGAGGAUCCAAGCGUUAUCCGGAUUUAUUGGGUUUAAAGGGAGCGUAGGUUGACAUAUAAGUCAGCUGUGAAAGUUUACGGCUCAACCGUGAAAUUGCAGUUGAUACUGUAUGUCUUGAGUGUACAAGAGGUGGGCGGAAUUCGUGGUGUAGCGGUGAAAUGCUUAGAUAUCACGAAGAACUCCGAUUG